GUGAGUCAUCGAAUCUUUGAACGCACAUUGCGGCCAUAGGUAUUCCUUUGGCCAUGCCUGUUCGAGCGUCAUUUACACCCUCAAGCCUCGCUUGGUGUUGGGCGUCUGUCCCGCCGUUUCUCGCGCGCGGACUCGCCUCAAAGUCAUUGGCGGCGGUCGUGCCGGCCCCCUCGCGCAGCACAUUUGCGCUUCUCGGGGGCCCGGCGGACCCGCGCUCCAGCAAGACCUUUCACGACUUGACCUCGGAUCAGGUAGGGAUACCCGCUGAACUUAAGCAUAUCAAUAAGCGGAGGA
rnacentral:misc_RNA from 1 species